AGAGUUUGAUUAUGGCUCAGGAUGAACGCUAGCGAUAGGCCUAACACAUGCAAGUCGAGGGGCAGCACAUGAAGUAGCAAUACGGAUGGUGGCGACCGGCGCACGGGUGAGUAACGCGUAUGCAACCUGCCUACAACAGGGGAAUAACCCGUUGAAAGACGGACUAAUACCCCAUAACACAGGGAUCCCGCAUGGGAAUAUUUGUUAAAGAUUUAUCGGUUGUAGAUGGGCAUGCGUUCCAUUAGCUUGUUGGUGAGGUAACGGCUCACCAAGGCAACGAUGGAUAGGGGAACUGAGAGGUUUAUCCCCCACACUGGUACUGAGACACGGACCAGACUCCUACGGGAGGCAGCAGUGAGGAAUAUUGGUCAAUGGACGCAAGUCUGAACCAGCCACGUCGCGUGAAGGAAGACGGCCCUACGGGUUGUAAACUUCUUUUGUAAGGGAAUAAAGUGUAGUACGUGUACUAUUUUGCAUGUACCUUACGAAUAAGGAUCGGCUAACUCCGUGCCAGCAGCCGCGGUAAUACGGAGGAUCCGAGCGUUAUCCGGAUUUAUUGGGUUUAAAGGGUGCGCAGGCGGGAGAUUAAGUCGGCGGUGAAAUUUUGCAGCUCAACUGUAAAAGUGCCUUCGAAACUGGUUUCCUUGAGUGUGGAUGAAGUAGGCGGAAUUUGUGGUGUAGCGGUGAAAUGCAUAGAUAUCACGAGGAACUCCGAUUGCGCACGCAGCUUACUAAACCAUAACUGACGCUCACGCACGAAAGCGUGGGGAUCAAACAGGAUUAGAUACCCUGUAGUC
rnacentral:rRNA from 1 species